UACAGGGGGUGCAAACGUUGCUCGGAAUUAUUGGGCGUAAAGCGCACGUAGGCGGUUCGUUAUGUCAGAUGUGAAAGCCCUUGGCUCAACUGAGGAAGUGCAUCUGAAACUGGCGAGCUAGAGUAUGUAAGAGGGUCGCGGAACUCCCGGUGUAGAGGUGAAAUUCGUAGAUAUCGGGAGGAACACCGGUGGCGAAGGCGGCGACCUGGGACAAUACUGACGCUGAGGUGCGAAAGCGUGGGGAGCAAACAGG
rnacentral:rRNA from 1 species